rnacentral:lncRNA from 1 species
GGACAAGUAGUACACAUCUCGUUCAAUUUUUGGGUUAUCGUUUUAUCAUCAGAGAUAAUGUCGUAGAUAGAAUCAUCUAGUCGACAUUAAAUUUAUUGAGAAUAAAGUUUUAUUUGCUAUAGAAUAUGAAUGUUUAGGACUUUUCGGCCUUUCAUGCAAAUUAGAACUGCACUAAGUAUGGGUGCUGACAAGAAACAUACUGGAUUAAGGAAUCUCAACUUCCUAGGUUUUGAUUAUAAAUAUCGGUUCCAUCACAUCUAAAGU